rnacentral:misc_RNA from 1 species
GUUGCGUCACGGGUCGAUUUAAUCAUGACUUAUGAGUGACAAUACACUCGAUGUCGAAGGCAUUGUAACCCAACAAGUGGGGAGUUCGGUUUGGUCGGGACAAAUCGAACGAUCUGCGGUAGCAGCGAUAAAUGACGUGUGUGGUUGCAGGUUGAGCCAUGCCCUGAUGUCGUUGUUACUUUCCGAUGCUGAUGAUGUUUGUCAAUUGUUGUGGCGAUGUCAAGUUGCUUGGGGAUCUUAGUUUAACUUUGAUCUUAGUUUUACGCUUAACUGGUUUCUUCACGAGGCCUGCACCAUCAGUCCGAUUGUAUGGCACGUUGUUGCUUUAUAACAGCCUUAUGAUCGGAUUGUUGGUGUAACCGAUGACAUGAUUUAGCUUGUUAAUCUUAAAACUGCGGAUUGCAAUUUGACGUGGUUGCGAUAGUUGAUGAAUGUUGUUGAAUGUGAUGCAAGGCGGUUUUUGUUGGAUGCGUUGUUGGUGAAGACAUUCGUCUCGAGGGGAUGCGGUGUCAAGUUGCCUGAGUAUCCUGGUUUUGAGCUACUGAGCUUAAAACACCUGGAUUAUCGGUUGGUGACAAGGCAUCGCUCCCUUGGUUGAUGAAUGUCAUCCAAUGAUGCAGUGGUUUGUUCGUUUUCUUCUCGCAUCGCUCGGUGCAUCCUGGGGUCAUUUCGGCCGGUCGCAGCUUGCUUGGCAAUUGCGCUUGGUGGGUUGCUUCUGGUUGGGUGUCUUCGGGGAUGUCUACCGUAAAGGUGCAUGAGUGGUGUUUGGUUUGUUACGGGUAGUUGGCUCUUUGCUUGCGCAACAACUUCUACCUGGCAUACCUCUUCAGUCUUGUGUCAAUGCUUGUAUUGCAUUGAAUGCAUGGUGGGUUUCUUGUGUUGCAUGCCUAAUUAAUGGUAUCGCUUGAUGUAUUGGUUUUCCUUUCGUCUUGCGUCGCCUAUGCGAUGUGAGAUGAACCUUGAAGCAGCCUUUGUGACCCACUCUUUUGAUGCACACGCAUUGAUUUUGUGGCCCAUUGAGUGUUGCUUGGUCUCAUGGAUAUGGAACCUGGUGUGGGCAUGGAAUCUUAAUGGUUCCUUGUGUGCCCAAGUUUAGCUUUUCUAAAACGAUUGUCU